rnacentral:rRNA from 1 species
UACGUAGGGUCCGAGCGUUGUCCGGAAUUAUUGGGCGUAAAGGGCUCGUAGGCGGCUUGUCGCGUCGAAUGUGAAAACCCGAGGCUCAACUUCGGGCUUGCAUUCGAUACGGGCAGGCUCGAGUUCGGUAGGGGAGACUGGAAUUCCUGGUGUAGCGGUGAAAUGCGCAGAUAUCAGGAGGAACACCGGUGGCGAAGGCGGGGUCUCUGGGCCGAUACUGACGCUGAGGAGCGAAAAGCGUGGGGGAGCGAACAGG